rnacentral:rRNA from 1 species
AACGAACGCUGGCGGCGUGGAUAAGACAUGCAAGUCGAGCGGGAACUUUCGCUGUAGCAAUACAGUGAAAGUUCUAGCGGCGAACGGGUGCGUAACACGUGGACAAUCUGCCCUAAAGUGGGGGAUAGCUCGGCGAAAGCCGAAUUAAUACCGCAUGUGAUGAGAGACGACAUCGUCUUGAAAUCAAAGCCGGGGCAACCUGGCGCUUUUUGAGGAGUCCGCGGCCAUCAGCUUGUUGUGAGGUAACGGCUCACCAAGGCUAUGACGGGUAGCUGGUCUGAGAGGACGACCAGUCACACUGGAACUGAGACACGGUCCAGACACCUACGGUGGCAGCAGUCGAGAAUUUUUGACAAUGGGGAAACCCUGAUCGAGCGACGCCGCGUGGG